UACGGGGGGGGCAAGCGUUGUUCGGAAUUACUGGGCGUAAAGGGCGCGUAGGCGGUCUGCUAAGUUGGAUGUGAAAACUCUGGGCUUAACCCAGAGCCUGCAUUCAAUACUGACAGGCUAGAGUUCUGGAGGGGAUAGCGGAAUUCCUGGUGUAGCGGUGAAAUGCGUAGAUAUCAGGAGGAACACCGGUGGCGAAGGCGGCUAUCUGGACAGAGUCUGACGCUGAGGCGCGAAAGCGUGGGGAGCGAACAGG
rnacentral:rRNA from 1 species